rnacentral:rRNA from 1 species
GAUCUACACUCUUUCCCUACACGACGCUCUUCCGAUCUGAGGAAUUGGCGGGGGAGCACCACAACGGGUGGAGCUUGCGGUUUAAUUGGAUUCAACGCCGGAAAUCUUACCGGGACCGACAGCAAUAUGAAGGCCAGGCUGAAGACUUUGCCGGAUUAGCUGAGAGGUGGUGCAUGGCCGUCGUCAGUUCGUACUGUGAAGCAUCCUGUUAAGUCAGGCAACGAGCGAGACCCACGCCCACAGUUGCCAGCGUACUCUCUGGAGUGACGGGUACACUGUGGGGACCGCCGCUGCUAAAGCGGAGGAAGGAAUGGGCAACGGUAGGUCAGUAUGCCCCGAAUAUCCCGGGCUACACGCGAGCUACAAUGGUUGGUACAAUGGGUAUCUACCCCGAAAGGGGACGGGAAUCUCCUAAAACCAAUCUUAGUUCGGAUUGAGGGCUGCAACUCGCCCUCAUGAAGCUGGAAUCCGUAGUAAUCGCGUUUCAACAGAACGCGGUGAAUACGUCCCUGCUCCUUGCACACACCGCCCGUA